CAAAAAAGAGGGAUCUGAUUUCAAAUUGAAAUCCCUCAGCUCGUUUUCCCCUCGAAGUAAAAUCCUCCAAAACCUUGAGCUCAGGACCAAAAGAAGAAGGCGCGAACCAGUUUCUCUCUCUCUCUCUCUCUCUCUCGGGGAAAUUGGCUGCUGCUGUGACGAAAAAAAGGGGUCAGAGGAGCCACUUGGACUUUUCUUCACACUCUUGCUGCUCAGGUGCUAGUUUUUUCUGUAGUUCUCAAUCUAAAUGACUCCAGAACCUACAGUGUUGCAAAGUCCUUGAACUUUUUGUUUAUAAUUCAGUACGUGCUGAGGGUUCUUCAAACCUGCUCCUUGUUAACACUGAUUAUAAGGGCUUCUGGCAUCCUUGCUGAAUCUGCAUGGGCUAAUCUCUCUUUCUUUAUGCUGGCGAGUGGCGACUCAUGCUCUAUGAUAUACGACUUCAUUAUGAGAAAUGGUUGGCAUGGGGCAUCAUAUCAAGCUAUAGUCAGCCUCUUCAAGUACUCAUGUAAUCAAUCUAAAGACAAUUCUAAUCUAGCUAGUAUGUUCUAUAUUUGAAAACUAGUUUAAUUAUACUAUGAUUUUAUAAUAUUUAUUUAAUUGAUAUAAUAAACUAUAUGAA